CCUACGGGAGACAGCAGUAGGGAAUCUUCCACAAUGGGCGAAAGCCUGAUGGAGCAACGCCGCGUGGGUGAAGAAGGUCUUCGGAUCGUAAAACUCUGUUGUUAGAGAAGAAAGUGCGUGAGAGUAACUGUUCACGUUUCGACGGUAUCUAACCAGAAAGCCACGGCUAACUACGUGCCAGCAGCUGCGGUAAUACGUAGGUGGCAAGCGUUAUCCGGAUUUAUUGGGUGUAAAGGGAACGCAGGCGGUCUUUUAAGUCUGAUGUGAAAGCCUUCGGCUUAACCGGAGUAGUGCAUUGGAAACUGGGAGACUUGAGUGCAGAAGAGGAGAGUGGAACUCCAGGUGUAGCGGUGAAAUGCGUAGAUAUAUGGAAGAACACCAGUGGCGAAGGCGGCUCUCUGGUCUGUAACUGACGCUGAGGUUCGAAAGCGUGGGUAGCAAACAGGAUUAGAUACCCCUGUAGUC
rnacentral:rRNA from 1 species